rnacentral:rRNA from 1 species
GAGUUUGAUCGUGGCUCAGGAUGAACGUUGGCGGCAUGCUUAACACAUGCAAGUCGAACGCAGGGCUUCGGCUCUGAGUGGCGAACGGGUGCGUAACACGUAGGUGACCUGCCUGACAAUGGGGGAUAACCCGUGGAAACACGGGCUAAUACCACAUACGCUGGGGAUCGUUUGAGAGUCCCCAGGAAAGUUCCGGCGUUGUCAGAGGGGCCUGCGGCCUAUCAGGUAGUUGGUGAGGUAACGGCUCACCAAGCCGAUGACGGGUAGCUGACCUGAGAGGGUGGUCAGCCACAGGGGCACUGAGACACGGGCCCACUCCUACGGAGGCAGCAGUGAGGAAUAUUGGGCAAUGGGGGCAACCCUGACCCAGCAAUGCCGCGUGCAGGAGGACG